UGUGGGUGGUUAGUCGAAGUUAAUGCCUUGGCUAGGUUCCAUGUCGACUUCUGCUUUUGAUUUUGACCCUCAGUCACCAUGGCCCCCCCUUUUUUUAGUAGUUUAUUUAUCACAGCAUCUUCGUGGAUAGUUAGACCAAGUCAUUGUCUUAGCUAGGUUCCACAUCGAGUUUUGCCUUCAGUUUUGACCUCCAAUCCUAGUGUCGAAAUAAUUUUUGAUGGCAUCUUUUCAGAUAAAUAUGCCAUGAUGCCCCC
rnacentral:lncRNA from 1 species